ACUGGCCACACGUUUCCUUUCGUUCACACUGGCCACACGUUUCCUUUCGUUCACACGUCUUCAACAUUAUGUUCAACAAAGUUUCCUUUCAACCCAGCAUCACUCAAAAAAACAAUUGCUCACAAACAACUUGCAAAGACCCAUCCUUUAUCUUGCAAAGACCCAUCCUUUAUCUUUUAUACCUUGUGAAGAUCCUGUUGCAAACAUGUUAUAAGUAAAAUCCAAUGAAUUAGAACAUGUAUAAGUAAAACAUUAGCCGUUUCUCUUAUAAAUUGAGGCAAACAGAACUGAGAGAGAGGAGGAAAUUUUCUAAAACAAUCAGAAAACCAGAUAAAGGUAGAAGAUAGAGUUGUUAUUAGAGAAACAGAUCUUACCCAUAACAAACAGAUCCAUCAAACCCAUUCAGCAAACUCAGAUCCAUCAAACCCAUAAGGAUAUUCAAACCCGUUUUAAAAUCAAACCCGUUUUAAGAUCAAAGAGACGACCGCAUCGGAAAGGUAUUUCAUUCAUCGAUUCCUGGUUUGAGUUUGAAAUUUUGUGUAUGAGUUUGAAAUGGGGGUGAGGUUUGCCCUGUUUGUUUCAUUGUUUCCUGAUUUGUUUAGCGCUUUCAUUUUAUUAAGGGUUAGGGUAUUAUUUUCUUUAAAUUAUUAUUAUUUAUGUUAUGCUUAUUAUAAAAAUUAUGAAUACAAUUAACUAGUAAUAAAGGUCAUUUAUUUUACAUUAUAACAAUUUUUCACUUAUUUACAAAAUAUAUUAAAAAAGGAUUAUAUAUAUAAUUAAUAUAAAUUUUUUAAUAGAUUAAGUUAAAGUCCAUAUAUUUUUAUUUUUACUAUUUUAUUCUCGUGGUUAUAACUAAUUCUAUUUCGAAAAAAAUCAUUUAAACUUGUUUAAUAUUUAUUAUAUUUUUUUUAAAAAUAAAAUAAUAACAAAUAUUUCAUUAAAAUUAACUAGAUGUGACAUCUUUUUAAUUUUUGAGUUAUUAGAACACAAAUUGUGACAAUUUGAUGGUUCUAAAUCUCAUAUUCACAAAAUAAAUUAAUAAAAUAAAAAUCAUAAACAAGUUAAUCAUAAAAAUUAUUUAUAUUUUAAUCCUAGAGUUACAUACUAUAAAUUAAACUAUGUUGUUAGUUUGGAAACUUAAUUUAAAAAUAAAAAUAAAAAUAUUCUUAAGAGGAUUAAAUUAGAUGUGACAUCUUUUUACUCCUUGAAUUUUGAGACACGAGUUGUACAAUUCGAUCGUCUUAAAAUUCAUAUUUUAAGAUAAUUAUUCAAAUCGAGCAAGUUUAUUUCUUUAUGCUUGUCAAAAUUAAUUUUUUUUAAAAGAAAAUAACAAAAAAUACAAUUUAUUUAAAAGCAAUCAACACAUCCACAUUUUCUUCCAAGAACUACGUAGCUUUGAUUUCUCCAUCGCACCGGGAGAUACGUAGGAGCAAGAUCACACUCUUGUCAAGCACAAUAAUAAAAACUUUUUUUUACUCUUUUAAAUACGUUUUUAUCUCAAAAAAUCACAUUUAUAAAAAACAAUUUAUAUUCAUAUUUAAUAAUAAAGAAAAAUAAAUAUAUUUAAGUUGAUAUAAUUUUGCACAAUUAAUUAAAGGUAACCGUAUUUUAAUGGAUGUCGUAGGGUGCUAAUACCUUCCCUACGCAUAAUCGACUCCCGAAUUCAAAAUCUGGUUUCAAAGACCAUUUUUACAUUUUUAAGGGUUUUCCAAUAUUUUCCCUAUUUUAAAAUAAAUUUUGGUGGCGACUCCAUUGAAUUCGAUGAAAACUCGAAAUUUUAGGCCGCGACACCAAAUAAGUUCAAUUACUUUUGUAUCUAUACCAAAUAAGUUCAAUCAUUUUUAUAUCUAUACCAAAUAAUUUGAAACUUAUAGAGAGUUCAAACACUACAAUAACAUAUAUAUUUUCCACGAUUAAUUGAACUUUGAACUUUUCUAUUAGCACUCUUUCAUGCCCCUCAAGUCACUAACAUAGUUUUAUACUUGGGGAAAAAAUUAGAUAUAGCUGAUAUGCAUGACAUGAUAACUGAUAAGACCCACCAAAAGUGAGUAAUGCUUGGUUCAAGGCUUAGAAGCUCUUAGUGCAUUAAAAUUUACCACUUAAACAAAUGUAUUAUAACUUCUUGUUUUCAGGAUUUGAAUUGAAGUUUUUCUGUUUGCUGAUAAAAACUUAUGGUCUUGUUAUGUCUUUUGUUUGUGACUUUUGCAUAAAGAGAGUGAGAAACUAAAAUACUUGGACUUGCAAACUGCUAAUAUUGUGGCCAGAAAUAGAUACGAUCCAUUCCAUGUUGUUGCAAAGCAAUGUCAUCUUGGUAAGAAGAAACAACAUAGGAUAAUGUUUGGGCCUAAGGGUUCUUAUAAUUUUCUUAAUAUUUUUUUUUUUCUGUUUAUUUUGUCUUUAUAAACAGUUAUACUAGGUUAAUCAAUGGAGUUCAACAAUUAAACCCAUAACAAAAAUAAAACUUUAAUAAAAAUUAAAAUAUGAGAAAAAUCAUAAUACAAAAAAAAAAUCAUAAUACACAAAAAAAUUAGAAACCCAGAACAGAUUUAAAACAAACCAACAAAACACAACUUCAACAAAUUUAAAAUGUCAAAAAACUCAAAACGCAAAAGAAAAUCAAAAACUCAGAAUACCAUUAUACAAUAAAUACUAACCUUAGUGACGAAAAAUGGUAGUGACAGCGACAAAGAUAGAGGUGACUAUGAUUCUGAUCAAAACAGAAAAUGAUGGAGAUCACGUGAAGGAUGAUGGUUGCACGGCGAAGAUGGUGGUAGCUAGGGUUUCUUAGUGAAUGUUCAGUUGAGUCAUGAGUGAGGGUGAAAGUUAGGGUUACUCUAAAUGAAUGAAGAGAGAGACAAGAGUAGAGAGUGAUGGGUGAGAUUUGGAUGAAAAUUAGGGUUACUCUGAAAUCUGAUGGGUGAGGUUUGAGUAAAAAAUGGGCUGGUAUUAUUGGGCCUAGUAUAACUUUUAAUUUUUAAUACAUUAGAUCAGGCGGGUUCGGGUACCCACAGUCAAAAUAUUAUAAAUCAAACCCGCCCAUUUAAAACCAUGUGGACCCACGUAAAUUGACCCGUGAACCCAUUAACCCGUCUUUGCCCACCCAAUAUUAAAUUUGGGCUGCGGGUUGUCCAGUUAUUUUCGGGCCACAGGUUUCUGUCCAGUCCUAGAUGUAUAUAGCCGCAGACAGAUCUUUUAAUUUUGAGUAUUUGAUGUUGAUCCAAAGGUUGAGAUGAUGUUACAGUAUAAAGUUGUUGCGGUCUAAAAUUUUAAAUGUUUCUUGAAUUGUGUUAUUAAAAUUUAUUUUAAAAUAGAAAAAAUAUGGAAAAAUCCUUAAUUAAUUAAUUAUGCAAAAUUAAUAUUAACUUAUAUAAAUUUAUUUCUCCUUUUUUAAAAUGAAAAUAUAAUUUUUAUUUAUUUAAACACAUAUUAGGAAAAAAUAAAAUUUUAUUAUUAUGUUUCACAAUUGUGCGAUCUUGCUCUUACGUAUCUCCCGAUGCGAUAGAGAAAUCAAAACUACGUAGUUCUUACGUAGAAAAUGCAGAUGUAUUGAUUGUUUUUUUUUAAAGAAAAUGCGUUUGAUUACAAUAAAAUGAUUGAAUAAAAAUAAAUUGUUGAUUUAAUGAAAGAAAAGAAAACCUUGAGUCAGAUAAAUUAAUUUUGAUGAAAAAGUUUAGUUAUUUAUUUUGAUUUUGUUAAGAAAGUUUAAUAUCACCAAGUUGUCACAACUCAAAUGUCUUAAACUAUCACUGACACGAUGUCGCAUCUUAAUCAGUCUUAUUUUAUUAAAAGGAUAUUUAUUAUUUUGAGCUUAAGAUCGUUAAGUUGUCACAACUCAGACAUCUUAAAAUUAAGUUUAGCAAAACAUAACAUUUCACCCAACCUUUUAGUCACAUUGAUUUGAACAACAUGGAUAUUCAUUUUAUUAAAGAUGAUAAUGAUAAAUCAGAGAAUGAAUUUUGAAUGUCUAUUAUUUGAAAAGUAGUUGAUGUUAAUUGUAUUUAGUCCAUAACUUAAAUAAAAGAAUAAGAUGACAAUUAUUAUAACACUAAAAGAAUUUAAUAAAACUUUUAACAAAAACUAAAAUGCUUAUUUAUGGUAAACAAAAUUCAAAUUAAAGGUAUAACACUAAACAAAACUAUAAAACAAUUACAAAGAUGAAUCUAGAAAUAGUUAUCACACAAGUUGAAUAUUUGUUAUACUCAUUGAUUUGCUUUGUUUGUAUAUAUAUUUUUUUUUUUUUGAGUUGUUGUAUUCUUCCUUAACUCAUUUCAUGCUUCAUUUAUCAUACUAACAAAAACUCUUACUAACUUAAAAAAAAAAAUCAAAACCGAAAACUCGGCAACCUCUUACUAGUUUAAAAAAUUGCAGUUUUUUAAGAAGAAGAAAAAAAGGCUAAAAAGGGUUAAAAAUAUGGUGUGUGCAACUAUAAAGAUGAAAAAUAAGAAGGUUGAAAAGAUGGAAGAGAGUGUUAAUGCUGCCUAAAACAAAACAAAAAAUAACAAGAAUUAAUAGGGAACCAGAGGAUACGACCAGAGGCAGAAACAUAAAUGGAGGUAGAUACAGAACCAGAGGUAGAACCAGAUAAUACCUCCAAAGGCAGAAACACAAUCAGAGGAUACCACUAGAGGCAGAAACGAACGCAAAACCAGAAGAUACCACCAGAGACAGAAAUGGAAUUGGAGGCAAAACCAGAUGAUACCACCAGAGGCAAAAAUGCAAUCAGAGGCAGAAUCGAAAGAUACCACCAGAGGCAGAACCGAAGGAGACCAUCAGAGGCAUAACCAAAGGAUACCGCUAGAGGCAAAACUUGAGGAAAAGUUAGAGGAUAUCACAAAAGGCAGAAACAGAACCAAAUGCAGAAAUAAAAUCUGAGGCAUAAAUGGAACCAGGACAAAACUAUAGGAUACCACCAAAGACAAAAGUGGAGGCUACAACUAGAAUACAGAACCAGAGGCAAAACCAGAGGAUACCACUAGAGGUGGAACUAGAUAAUACCAUCAAAGGCAUAAAUGGAAUCAUAGGCAGAAAUGAAACCAAAGGCAGAACCACAAGAUACCACCAGAGGCAGAAACAGAACCAGAGGCAGAAGUGGAGGCUACAACUGGAAUACGAAACCAGAGGAUAGCACCAGAGGUAAAAACAGAAUCAGAGGCAGAAACAUAACUAGAGGCAGAAGCGGAGGCUACAACUGGAAUACGAAACCAGAGGCAAAAAUAGAGAAUACCACUAGAGGCAAAACUAGAGGAUACCAUUAGAGGCAGAAACAGAAUCGAAGGCAGAAUUGUAGGAUACCACCAGAGGUAGAACUAGAGUAUACCAUCAGAGGGAGAAACAAAAUUAGAGGUAGAACCAGAGGAUAUCACCAGAGGCAGAAAUGGAAACAAAUGGCAGAAUUGGAGGCAGAAUCAGAGGAUAACACCAGAGGCAGAAAUAGAAUCAGAGGCAGAAGUGGAUGCUACAACUGGAAAACUUUUUAUGAUUGACUGGACAAAAUUGGGUUAAUACAGAAGUCAUAGUUGUCACAACAUACAAUAUGAAUCAGCAGAAGGAUGACAACACAAACCGCAUCCGCAUAUACCCACCCAAACUCGUCCUAAUUUGUGUGGAAAAAAUCCAUUUCGAUUAGGUGUGGAUUCAAAUUUUUUCCAAUAUUAAAACUCCGGGGUGGGGGCGGGUUUGGGGUGUUGAUAUUCCCUCGAGUCCGGUUCGCUAUUAAUAUUAUUGUCAUUUUUAAAUUUU
rnacentral:lncRNA from 1 species